rnacentral:lncRNA from 1 species
CGCAGUACCAAACCAUUCCCACCACUACUUACCCCGCCGGCUACAUGUGUGGGGGGGGAAGAAACCUGCUGAGUAAAACCAAGCAAAGGAAAGAAACUAAAUUAAGCAUUACUUUUUACUGCAUGGAAUAACUGCACUGAUUUUUUUUUCCCACUGAGGCGUUAGGAGUGUAAACUAGUAAAAGUUGAAUGCCCGAGAGCACAUUUGCAAGUCCGGACUGAACGACAAUGGAAUUUGUGAUCUCGUAACCACGAGAAAUAACGUUAUCUGUCUGCGUAUACAAGCGCCGGUUGCAGACAAACUGGAUUACGUUACUCUCAUUGAAAAACUUCUUGCUUCGCUGAAAAGAGGAGUAAACCAGCGUUUUUGAGCAAGUGACUGACGAGUUGUACACAGGCAAGGUUUGGACAAAUCCUCAUGGGAGCCAUGGAAAGAUUAGAAAUGGCAGGAAAAGAGCACUGAAUUUUUACAGCCACAUCUCAUCAUUGAGUGACACCCUCUACUGCCAUCGUUGCUCAAACCUGGGGACUCCACUUCUUGUAAAUAGCUGUGGCCAGGGAAAACCCUCAUCUUGUCAUUGGAGGAACACAGUGGAUCAGGUUGUGUCCAGAAGGAUGUGUUUUUAAACCCAAACUGCUGGGAGGUCAAGAGGUGACAUGCCUCUGUAAAACACCACUGGAAACCAAUGGUGAGGAGCUGAUGAAGUUGACAUUGAAGAUGACAUGGCACAAACAGAGAGCUAU